rnacentral:rRNA from 1 species
UAAAUUAAUAAGGGCGCAUGGU